rnacentral:lncRNA from 1 species
GUGCUGGUGAAGAAGUAGCUCAAGAGGUUGCUCAAACUAGAGAGAAACAGCAAGUGGCAAGAGCAGUGGCUUUUCUACAGAAGCAUCAUCAGGAAGGGGAUUUGCUUAUCGGUUUACAGGAAGACUCAGAGGCUGAGCUCAGAAAUAUGAAGGCACAAUUUGGACUGGAACUUCAAACACAGACAGAAGAAAAGAUGCAAGCCAGAGAAAUGCAAGUGAUUCAGAAGGCUGAAGGACAGGGAUUAGGGAAUCUUGUGGCAUAUUUCAUCCUAUCUCAGAGACACCUGCGGCAAACAGUCAUGAUGCUACAAGACUGCUACAGGCUCCAGAAGACUGCCUUGAGGUCCCAAAUGGAAGGCAUAAACCUGGAACAGCUUGUUUUAAAAGACUUAUCGACUGAUGAUGACAUGAGGGACAUUUUGCAUCUCCUGAAAGACAACACAGAGUAUAUAUUUUUAGUGUUGGAAUAUAUACAAGCAGCCCAAUUAUUACAACUGAGAGAGUCACAGUUUAAGGAAAUAGCCAGAAGCCUAAAAGUCUACAUCCAGGAGAAGGUGAAACUAAAAAUAAAUUGCCUAGUGAUUUUAUUCAGAAAGUUUGCAUUGCUACUGUUAUUGUGU